rnacentral:lncRNA from 10 species
AGUGAUGGCUUUUUCCUUCCUCAGAGUUUGCCCUGCCCCCCAUUCCAACGUGGGCUGCUGCUUCUCCCCAGCGGGUUGUAGCUGGCAGGGCCGUUGUGCUUUGGGGUUUGCUGUACCUGUCGCUGCCGUGAGGGGACGAUCUGUCUGCCCGGAGGGGUUUCUGCAAACAUUCAUCCUCCACAGCCACGGGGACACCCUGCACCUAUUCCCACGGGACAGGCUGGACCCAGAGACUCUGGACCCGGGGCCUCCCCUUGAGUAGAGACCCGCCCUCUGACUGAUGGACGCCGCUGACCUGGGGUCAGACCCGUGGGCUGGACCCCUGCCCACCCCGCAGGAACCCUGAGGCCUAGGGGAGCUGUUGAGCCUUCAGUGUCUGCAUGUGGGAAGUGGGCUCCUUCACCUACCUCACAGGGCUGUUGUGAGGGGCGCUGUGAUGCGGUUCCAAAGCACAGGGCUUGGCGCACCCCACUGUGCUCUCAAUAAAUGUGUUUCCUGUCUUAAC